rnacentral:rRNA from 1 species
GAUGAACGCUAGCGGCAGGCUUAACACAUGCAAGUCGAGGGGUAUAGGUUUUCGGACCUAGAGACCGGCGCACGGGUGCGUAACGCGUAUGCAAUCUACCUUUCACAGAGGGAUAGCCCAGAGAAAUUUGGAUUAAUACCUCAUAGUAUAGCAGUUUCGCAUGAAACCACUAUUAAAGUUCCAACGGUGAAAGAUGAGCAUGCGUCCCAUUAGCUAGAUGGUAAGGUAACGGCUUACCAUGGCUACGAUGGGUAGGGGUCCUGAGAGGGAGAUCCCCCACACUGGUACUGAGACACGGACCAGACUCCUACGGGAGGCAGCAGUGAGGAAUAUUGGUCAAUGGACGCAGGUCUGAACCAGCCAUGCCGCGUGCAGGAUGACGGUCCUAUGGAUUGUAAACUGCUUUUGUACGAGAAGAAACAACAUUACGUGUAAUGUCUUGACGGUAUCGUAAGAAUAAGGAUCGGCUAACUUCGUGCCAGCCGCCGCGGUAAUAC